rnacentral:rRNA from 1 species
CCUACGGGAGGCAGCAGUGGGGAAUAUUGGGCAAUGGGCGCAAGCCUGACCCAGCAACGCCGCGUGAAGGAAGAAGGCUUUCGGGUUGUAAACUUCUUUUCUGAGGGACGAAGAAAGUGACGGUACCUCAGGAAUAAGCCACGGCUAACUACGUGCCAGCAGCCGCGGUAAUACGUAGGUGGCAAGCGUUAUCCGGAGUUAUUGGGUGUAAAGGGCGUGUAGGCGGGAAAGCAAGUCAGAUGUGAAAACUCAGGGCUCAACCCUGAGACUGCAUUUGAAACUGUUUAUCUUGAGUGCUGGAGAGGCAAGCGGAAUUCCGGGUGGAGGGGUGAAAUGCGUAGAUAUCCGGAGGAACACCAGUGGCGAAGGCGAAUUGCUGGACAGUAACUGACGCUGAGGCGCGAAAGCGUGGGUAGCAAACAGGAUUAGAUACCCCAGUAGUC